rnacentral:lncRNA from 1 species
GUUUCCAGAAGUCGGGAUGGACUCUAGAAUCAAAACCUUCCUCCAUAUACACGGGGAAGGAAUUUCACCCCUCCUAUGCUGAUUUUGAUUCUAAUCCUGGCUUCUUUUCUUCCUCCAGAAUCUUGGCCUGUUGCAUCCUUUUAUUCUGAACAGCCAGGCUGACAGGAUCCUUUCUUGACAGAACAGAUAUGCAAGAAGUGGCGAGCUCUCCAAAGCAAAUGAAAUAAUGUGAUAGAAGAGUUAUCUCUGGGGUUCCUGAGAUGGCUCAGGAGAAGAAAUUCCAACCACGAUGGGGGUGCACAGACGUGGCUGAGAAGGUCGUCCUACUUUAGUUGCGGGAGCAUACUCUACCCUGUGCUGGUCAUGUGGCCUUUGCCUGCACAUUUAGAGCGAUUUUGUGUGACUGGCUGAAGCCCAUCUCAGGGCCAGCUGAAGAAGCAAGCAUGCAGAAUACGAAGAAAGGCAUACUCUGUGUCCUUCUGGCACAUCUGGAGAAUUCCAUGUGCUCAUGGAGAAUCAGUGUAAGAGUGAGUUGGGAGCCUUUGCUGCCUUGUGGGUUGCCUGUACCAGAGCAGACCCACAUUCUGCUCUCUGGCCAGCUCUACUUUCUGCCCUUCUUAUCCCAACUUGCCUAAUUGAUACCUUGGCCAAUGGUGUCAUUAACAAUGCUUGAAUAAUAGCUGGACCGGCUGAUUUCAAAAUGGCAGAGGUGAUUAAUAUGUAAGAAAUCCAGUGGGGGGCAGGGAAUAGGGAAAGGGAUGUGUUAGGAAAUGGAGCACAAGGAAGCUUCCUUCUGCAGCCCCUCGCUCACUGCCCAUCCAUCACCAUCAAGCAGAAGGACAGGCUUGGGGGUAGGAGUCUAACUCCCAGCCCUGGGUUUGCUGAUCCCCUCCAGUUUCCCUCCCCUGCCUCCCCCAGCAGCACACGUUCUGACACCUACAAGCUCGUUACAUGAUGAUGACCUAUAUUUUUAUCUUUUUUAUGAGCAUCAAACACACAUCGUCUUGCAAGCACAUGUGUUUUUCCCCUAUUGACGUGUGAGUGCCUUUGAUGGUAAUUUAUUGUAGGGUUGAGCAGCCAGGUCUUAAUUGUACCCUAAAAUUGCUUACCAUUUUGGUGCCUCCAAACCAUCCCAAAAUGUACCUUUUUCCUACAGAAGGGUGUGGGGCCAUCCCUUUGUGUUAUUGCCUUCUGCCGUGGAAUGUGGAGAUUAGAGAGAACAGGAGGGAGAGAUUCUCCAGCUGGGUUUCAGGGACGCCUUGGUCCCCAGCUUCUAAUUGCAGUUGGGCAGUAUGAAGGUUUUGCUAUACUCAGCAGAAACAAACUUCAUUCUUCAUGGGAUCAACACAGCUUUACCGGUUGCUCAGAGUGGUUGGUUGAUAGCUUUGGAGGACAUUUCCACUGUGGUCACCUGUAUGGAUGAAUCUAGCUGGCAUCACAAAAGAAACUGUUGGGCACUCGCCUAGGGAGUCUGGCAGCUCACCCAAAGUGAGUUAUACAUCUUAAGUCAUUCUAUAACAGCUGCCACUUCCACAGCUGACCACUCCCUCCCCUGGCUUAAGCUGGUUUCAACAACCCUGUAGAGUGUCCAGGGGGCAACAGAGGAAGAGGAAGACAAGGAGUAGAGCCCAGAGAAUACAAACAGAGUUUAGUCUCAACUAUAAUUUCACUUUGGGCCUAAUAGCCUCCUUCGCUCUACCUCCCUUGUCCCUCGUAUGACAGACAGCAUCAUACUCCAGGAGACUCAUAAUCAUUACGGAAGGAUGAGUCAAGGUUCCAGAACAACUAGAAAUGUAAGCCGUGUCUCAUGAAAAUAUAAGGGGGAAAUGGAGGCUGACACGAAUCCUUGCCUCUUUGUGAGGAAGCAAGAGAGGGUCUGGUGUUAGAGCUGGCCUUCUGCUGCGGUCCAGACUAUCCAUGGACCAGUCCUUGCUAGCUCUUGUUGCAGACUCUCCAUUUGUGCUCAUCGGUCCCGUCUCCCACACUCAUCACAUGUGCCUGCUCAUACUUGUCUCCACACAUUCAUUCAGGCUGCUGCCUUCCUCCUCCCCAAGUCCAGCUAUGGCUUCUAGGUCCUCCCUGUUAUCCUUGUCCAUUUCUUCCUGGUGUUCAUGGUCCACAAACUUCAACCAGACAAGUCUUAACUGACGUGCAGAACUCUAUCCUUCCAGAGCUCAUGUGCUUGUCUCUGAGUCUCAUCACCUUUCCUAAUGUCUCUGAAGAGACUUUGCACAGCCAUGAACCUUUAGAGUGAGUAUAAAGCUUGCACUACUACCUAUGGAUGACUUUUAAAAAUCUCCUUUGCUAAUUGCCUUCUCAAGAGAUACUUUGUAGUUUCUUUGAUCCCUCAUUUUUAUAACCAUGGCAAUAAAAGUUGUAGAUGUACAGAUGGACUUUCUAAAAAGAGCAGCUUCCAUGAUCAAUUUAACAUGAAAUAUAAUUUUCCUUGGGACAACUGCAAGACUACAGGUCCUCAAACUUUCUAAAAUCAGUUAUCUGGGAAUUUCCAAGAAAUAAAAGGCAUCUAUUUCAACUAUCUAGUUCUCCAGUACAAAAAGAAUAAAAUUCAAAUACCCAGGACCCUCUAUGCUGACAGGAUCUUUAUUUACACCUACAAAUCUUUAUACAACCUAGACUAUGACCUUAUGAGUUUUACUUUGAGGUUAAACUGCUAUCCUCUUUUGCCUCAAGACCUUGGCAAUGGUAUUUUUUCUGUCUGGGAUGCUGAUCCUCUAUAUCAAUGUAUUAAAGUUUGAUUACUUUAGUCUGGUUGGAAAUCUUACCCCAAACUGCAUCCCAGACCUCUGAUGAGAAUUUUUUUUUUUGCCCUUCCUCUAACUUCAGUGCUGUAUUAUUUGAACUUCUGAUUACAACACUUUUUUAUUGAAGUACUUUUAUUUGUGUUUGUAUUUUUUACUAGUUUGUGAGAUUUGGAGGGGGUGAAGAUUAUGCUCUUCUUUCUGAACUGUGUAUUCCUAUGCUCAGCAUGCUACCCUACAUAGUAGGUAUCCAAAAUACAUAGAUGAACUAGGAAAAGAGAACCAAACUGUUCACUCUGUCUACACUUGGUUUUCCUCAUGGUUUUGCUCUGUCCAAGUCAGGCCU